UAAUGCUGAACAAAACAGCAACCCUGAAGCCUCUCUUGGUGACGUGUUGUCUCUGCAGCUGUAACAGGAGCAAAAUUGAGGAGAGAAUCUGCUGCCUCAGUCACAGUGCAAAAAUAAUUAUCAGGAACUACUUUGACAAGUCUAUUCCAGCUUUCUCAUCUUCAAAUGGUCCUUUCCUCCUGCUGGACUGGAGGUGAACUGAGUAUAUGCCUGCAAGGCUUUGGGACUGGCCUGCCUUAGCCCGAAUUUGUAUAAAGAGUCUCCUGGAAUCCAGCUACGGUUAAUGAAUCACAUCGUAUCACCUUCUAUCAACAGUUGCAACAUACUUCAGAGGAUAUUCCCCUUGGUCUUCAGGAAAAGGGCCAGUGCUGGUCUUGCCUAUCCACACCCGUGGAUCACCAGACUUCUCCAAAGAAGGCAAGAGAAAAUGGGAAGCUCAGUGUAAUGUGGAGCAAUCUAGGCAAAAUGGAAACAACUGAGAGAGGUACCAGGAAACCUGGAGGAGAGGGACAGCCAGUCCCAGCAAUAGCCAGGAAAAUGGCACUCUCAGCCCAGAGGACACAAAGAUCUUCAGCAGGCUGAAAGCAAUUUUCAAGCAACAUGAGCUACCUAGCCAGUGGUAAAAGAGAAUAAAGAGGAUAAGAAUGA